UGCCACUUCGCGCGGUUGUUCAAACGCAGCCUCAUAGUCAGUCGGACACGGUACUCCUCUAGUUUUAGAUCAGCCAGGCUGCAGUUGGAAAUCGACCGCGAAAUUUAAGGAUCCCGCGUUCAGCGGUGCGUAUCAAGCUGAGAUCAUGGUAUCGGUUGAUCGAGGAAUACAAUAAGACAUUCAGACCAAAAUACGCUACCAAGACCGAGAACUUUUGGGUGAAGGAACGAUAUGAAUAAUUUUUUCGAUUAAAAACUUGUAAGAUUCGAC
rnacentral:misc_RNA from 1 species